AUGGGGCACUUGGCUUCGAUGUGUGUUACCUUUUUACCUUGGGAGUGCGUUGCACCCAUGUGUGCCUUCCAGGCCAAAGAGCAGGGGUUCUUUUACAUCCCCGAUUCGUGCACUGCUAAACAACUUAAGGGAAGAGCUACUAGUGUUGUGAUUACUGUCAUUGAGGGGGAAGCUAGUGUUAAGGAGUUAGAAGAAGCGUUCUCUGAUUACAUUGGGACUAAGUGGCACUGUAUUGCCCGUACUAUUGGUCCUAAUACUUAUGUGAUGAGAUUUCCCAAUCAAAGAGAUGUGAAAAAAGCAUGUUACAAUGACAGGAUGAUCCUUAAAUCUUGUGGUGUAGUUGUUAGAAUUGUUCCCUGGUCGGCCAACAUUGGGGCUAAGGGAGUCAUGGAGAUGGCCUGGGUUAAAGUAGCUAAUAUUCCUCUGGAAAGAAGAAAUGAAAGGAAUGUCGCCUAUGUUUCUUCCCUGGUGGGUGUCCCGCUCGAGAUCGACAUGGCCACCCUGCACAAGCCUGAAUUUGUCAGGGUCCGGCUGGGCUGUCGCAAUGUGGACGAGCUCCCAGGGGUAGCUGAGGCAGUGCUGGGUACGCACUUCUUUGACUUUUUCUAUGAAAUUGAGAAAGUGCUGGUGCGUGACCCAGAGAGAGAAAAAAAGGCUGUGGAGGUGGAGGAGGAUACCAAAAAAUCCCCUUAUACAAAAGCAGCCGCUUGGGGCAAGCAUGACCCUAAAUCUGGAAACAAAGAGAGAAAUGAGGGGUGCAGCAAGUAUGGUGAUAGUGGGCACAAUGGCCCUGCUGACGCAAAAGAGGAAGAAAGUAUGGAGUCUGAAGAAUCAGAAGAUAAUAUGUUGUUGAUUGAGACUAUGGUCAUGGAGGCGUACAGUAAAGAAAAAGCUCAAGGUUCUCAAGCAAUGCUGGAUAUUGAUGAUGCCAAGCAUAAUGCUGAUGAGAUUCAGGUAGAAAAAGAUGAUAAUGCAUGUUCUUUCAUUGCUGCUGUAACUCAUAAAAAUAUAGCUCAGUUAAAUGUGGCUAUGGAAUGUGAGCAGGUGGUGGAAUGUGAGGGGGAGGACCUCUCCAAGAUGGGAAAAUCAGACUACCUGGUACAAUACCCCACCUCUUCUUCUGAGGAUGUGGGAGAGGUGAUCCCUACACCUCCCCUUGUUUCUGAAGAAGUUAAGAGAUUUAGCCUGAGGAACUUGCAGAAUAUGGAAGGAAGAAUGCAAGAGAAGGCUGUGGCCAUUUCCAAAAAGAGAAAAAGAUGA
rnacentral:rRNA from 1 species